rnacentral:rRNA from 1 species
AGCGGAGGGAUCAUUACCGAGUUCCAGCAACUCCCAACCCUUGUGAACCGUACCCCAGUCUGUUCUCGUUGCUUCUGGCGGCGGGGUGGGCGGCCCCACGCGGGGCGGCUCUUCCCCCACCGCCAGGGGCGGCGGGCCACUGAACUCUUUUAAACAAAAGCCCCUGCAGCUUUGUCUGAGAAAAACAAAAAAUGAACAAAACUUUCAACAACGGAUCUCUUGGCUCUGGCAUCGAUGAAGAACGCAGCGAAAUGCGAUACGUAAUGUGAAUUGCAGAACUCAGCGAACCAUCGAAUCUUUGAACGCACAUUGCGCCUGCCAGCAUUCUGGCAGGCAUGCCUGUCCGAGCGUCAUUUCCCCCCUUCAGCACGCCUUUGCUGCGCGCUGGUGCUGGGGCGCCUCUGCCUGGCAGAGGGCCCCGAAAGCGAGUGGCGGGCCUGGCUGGAUGGCUCCGAGCGCAGUACUGAACGCAUGUUCUCUCCCCUCGCUUUGCAGCUUCCACCGGCGCCUUGCCGUCAAAAAGACGCGAGCGGCUCCUCCCUUGGGGGCGGCUGCCCGCAACCACUAAAAGGUUGACCU